rnacentral:rRNA from 1 species
UCUGGCGGCAGUAGCGCGGUGGUCCCACCUGACCCCAUGCCGAACUCAGAAGUGAAACGCCGUAGCGCCGAUGGUAGUGUGGGGUCUCCCCAUGCGAGAGUAGGGAGGUAGUGUGGGGUCUCCCCAUGCGAGAGUAGGGAACUGCCAG